UGCGCAUCACCUCUUGCUUGUCUAGAUCAGCCCGGACGUUGGCAUGUGUAGCGUAUUUUGUCGGGUUUCGAGAUCAAGAAUCGAUGUCCCUUUGUUGGUUGGUUUUCCGAGAAUCCUUGACCCUUGAUUUGUUACUUUCGCAUCGUUCGGUGCAUGUUUUCCGAGAAUCCUUGACCCUUGAUUUGUUACUUUCGCAUCGUUUGGUGCAUGUUUUCCGAGAAUCCUUGACCCUUGAUUUGUUACUUUCGCAUCGUUCGGUGCAUUCUGGGGGAUGUUUUGGCUUUUGGUGGCUUACUUGGCCUUUUGGCUGGGUUUGUUGCUAUUGGUCGGGCGGCUUUCGGGAAUGUCGACCGUGGAGGUGCAUGAGUGGUGUUUGGUUUGUUACGUGUGGAUGGCUGUUUGCUUGCGCAACAACGUUCACGCUGCAUACCUCUUCAGUUUUGCGGCAAGGCUUGGUUUGGCUUGUGCAUAUUGUGGGUUUCCUGUGUUGCAUACCUAGUUGAAGGAAAAGUGUGGGUUUUACGAUUUUCAUUUUCGUCUUGCGUCGUUCUUUCGGCAUGGGAUGAGCAAUGAAGCGAUCUUUAUGAUCCAUCGUGCUGUUGUGUUUGCAACAAUGAUGUGGCCUAUGAAGCAUCGUUUGGUCUCYUGUAUACGGAAGCUCAUUUGGGCUUGGGUCUUUAUAAGAUCUUCGUUAUGCCCUUGUUAAGCGUUCUCGCUUCUCCUAAACGAUUG
rnacentral:misc_RNA from 1 species